rnacentral:rRNA from 1 species
AUUGAACGCUGGCGGAAUGCUUUACACAUGCAAGUCGAACGGCAGCACGGACUUCGGUCUGGUGGCGAGUGGCGAACGGGUGAGUAAUGUAUCGGAACGUGCCCAGUCGUGGGGUAUAACGUAGUGAAAAUUACGCUAAUACCGCAUACGAUCUAUGGAUGAAAGCGGGGGAUCGCAAGACCUCGCGCGAUUGGAGCGGCCGAUAUCAGAUUAGGUAGUUGGUGGGGUAAAGGCCCACCAAGCCAACGAUCUGUAGCCGGUCUGAGAGGACGACCAGCCACACUGGAACUGAGACACGGCCCAGACUCCUACGGGAGGCAGCAGUGGGGAAUUUUGGACAAUGGGCGAAAGCCUGAUCCAGCCAUUCCGCGUGCAGGAUGAAGGCCCUCGGGUUGUAAACUGCUUUUGUACAGAACGAAAAGGUUUCUACUAAUACUAGGAGCUCAUGACGGUACUGUAAGAAUAAGCACCGGCUAACUACGUGCCAGCCGCCGCCGUAA